GGGCCCAUAGCUCAGUUGGUUAGAGCGGUCGGCUCAUAACCGAUUGGUCCUAGGUUCGAGUCCUAGUGGGCCCACCA
rnacentral:tRNA from 1 species